GUGGGGUUUUCUCACAGGGCCAGCUGGGCACUGGACAGGGAGGCCUGCUGAUCUCCUCAGCCCACAGCUGUCCCGGCUGAGCCAGAUGCGCCAGCUCGGGAACCGUGGACCAAGUGUACUGGUCUGGGGAUGUCAGGAGCAGGGCCUGGUCCCCAGGGAGGGGCAGUCGGGAGGUUGACCGCUCUGCCACCUGCUCACAGGGCUCGCCGGCUGAUCGAGGCCUCACCCGGUGCUGGUGUCACAGCCUCUGCGCCCGGUCACAGGAGGCGGCAGGGCCGGCUGGGCCUGAUUUUUCUGGCGGGGGCGGGACACUGACCAAGCCCAUUGCAGGACAGACCUGUCUGCCCAGAUCCAGGCGACGGGGCCCUCUGACCAUUGUUCACUGCGUCCAGGUGCCCAGAGCUGUGGGGAGGCUGAGAAGCCGCCCAGCCAGUCCCACACCCUGGCCCUGGCACAGCCACCUCCUCCUGCUCUCAUGAGAAACCCGGCUGAGGGCCCAUGAGCUGUUGCCUGGUUCCAGGCCGGCUGCCCUGCUAGUGCCCACCCCGACCCCCUGCCUGCCCGUCUCUCUGCAGAUGCGGACAGGCAUGGUGUACCCCCCUGCCUGCCUCCUUCACUGCUGGGUGGAACUCGGGGCGCCCAGGAGCCGCCUCCUCAGGGCUGGCUCAUUUGAUGUCCCAGGCUGAGCUGCACACUAGGGGGAUGAGGUGACCGGUGGGCACCCAUCUCAGACACCCGGCUUCCCAGGUCCCGCGGCCCUCCCCUGGGGGCCCUGGCCAGCAGUUCACCAAGGCAGCAGCCCCGGGUGUGAGCAGGGGGUGACAGGGAUGGGGCUCCACAUCCUCCCGGCUCUGCUUCUGGGAUUCCCCCGGCUCCUGUCCACGGGCACGGCCUCCUGAGAGCCGCGUGGGGCGGGCAGGCAGCAUGGCCUCCUGGUGACCCACAUGCCCCCUCCUCACUGGGGCCGGGGAGCAGCCCCCACAGCCAGGAGGAGCAGGCCCUGGACCACAUGCCACAAGCUGGGGCCUGGCUCUGGCUGUGUGAGGUGUCUGUGACCUCAGGCAGAGCCUAUGCCAGCCUGGGCCUGUCUCCACCGGCAAGAGCUAUGCGGCAGGUCAGGGAGGCCGGGCCAGGGCCUCAGGUUGGCCUCCCUGUCAUCUGCCCUUCUAGGGACGUAGGCUGCUGCAUGGGAGAGCCAGCCUGGCCAGGCCCUGGGACUCAGCUCCACUGUCUCAGCUGACCUGGCGACCUGGCAGGUCAUAGGGGGGCGCUUGCCUCAGCUUCUGACUCUCGAGCAAUUCUGUUCUGCCUGAGCCCAUCAGCCCCAGAUCCCAGGGUGGGGCCGUCCCAAGGAUCUGCUCUCUUCCUCCCAUAGGUCUCCCGUCCUGUCCUCCGGGGCCAAGCCCCCACCUCCCUGCUCCUGUCCCUGGUCCCUCUGUUGCCCCCAUCCCCAGAAAGUCACCCAGGGCCUGCCUAUACUUGCCUUCACCUGAGGGAGCUGCCAGCCCUGGGCGUGUACGGGUCGGGGGCACCCUUUCAUCUGGAGCCAGGAUGGGGGGUGCUCGUCUGGCCUGGACUUGCCAGGCUGGCUGGAGACCCUGUUUGGUGUCCAGGUGCCGUCCUGGGGCCCAGCCUCUGAGGUGGCGGUGAGGCUUAGGGGUUGGCGGACUGUGAUUCUCCGAAUUUCAAGGCACUCAACAAGAUAGCCGAGGCCAGCUCACUCCGCUGGUCCCCACGUGCCACCGUCUCCCUCCGCAGGUCAUUUGUCAUCAUCCGUCCACGUGGGCCCAGGGCUCUGUCAACCCCCUGGAGAAGCCGCUUGAAAUGACAGCCAAGAACAGGGCCCCCACUGGCUCUUCUUGACCUCCAAGGCCCCCAGGUACCUAAGGCAGUAAACCCCCAACUCCCUGGAAGGGCCCACUGGGCGCUCACUUCGCUCCAGAGCCUCGCCUGGUUUCCGCUUCGGGAUCCGGUCACCCAACCCAGCUCUCCAGUUGCUGCUGUUUCUCGUGAGACUGUCAGAGUGAAGGGGUCCAAAGCUCCGACUUCCAGCCUCAGAAAUCCCAACUCAGGCAGGAUCAGCGAAGCGUCCCUCGCAGUGGCUGGAGGGAGAGCCAGGCGGGGCCCAGGCUGCCACUUAUCAGGGCUGUAAAUGCCACCCUGAGGCCCACGCCUGCCAACACUGCUCCCCACAAGACUAAGUCCUGCAGCCUCAGCCCAGAAGGACCCGCGCCUACCCCCACACGGAGGUCAUGUUCAGCCACACCCCAGUGAACCCUGGCGACCCACCCCACAGUGCCCUGCCCUCCCGUGCUCCUCUCUCCUGACCUCUGUGCACGCUGCUCCCUUGACAGAAGCGUCCCCCCUCCCUUGCUAUGCAGGAUUCAGAGGACAGCGUCUGUCCCCAGCUGCAGCACGGUAACGGGCACACACAUUAAGAUAGUAAGAGAUGUCCGCUGACGGCCACCAGCUUCCCAGCAGGCUCAGAGAAGUUACUGGAGUUGGAGCUGGGUGACAGCGUGCACAGGCCCAAGCAUGGGAUCCACCCAGUUCCUGGGAACUACGUCCCUCUGCGUUUCUGCCCAACAAGCUUCCCUUCAUGAAGCCCAUGAAACUGAACUCAUGCUGUGCGGCUGCAAUGUCUCGCUACUGUUAAGGAGGACAGUGAAGUAUUUUGGGAUACACAUUCGCUUUUAAUAAAAAAGAAAUUUCCUCCUACAA
rnacentral:lncRNA from 1 species